GUCCUCAGUCCGGGUAGUCCCACAUCCCCCGCGCCUGGAGGGCCUAAUCACCGAAGGCCAGGUGUGAUCAUGGAAGAUGCCACCAUUGAGUUGGGUCCCCUGGUUUUACUGGAGAUGAUGAGGCCAAGUGGCAGCACUUAAUUAUUAAAGCAACACUGAGCAGUGCUGGUUUGAAGGUCUGCUUCCUCAGGGUGUGAAUGCUUACACAAGGACUAUGUCUGGAACCAAAAGGAUUUUCUCAGGUGCCUCUUGGUACUUUGUGUCCAGUAAAAAAAAAACAUAAAGAAAACUACAAAAGCAGCAACAACAAAACAGCAGAAUGAUGAAUAACUUGGAUUAAGAAUGAAGAUUUGUGUUGUACCGUCAGGUAAAGAAGUCAGUGAACUGAGGUUCUGGCUAAGGGCAAGGGAAAUAUGGAAGAAGCCACCUGUGAUGUUAUAACCAAUAACAGAAACAAAGACUGUAUGAGCUUUGUAUGUUUUCUCUUUGCUAGCUAUAUGUAUGUGUUUUGUACAUGAAAAUCAUGUUCUUCUCUCUCCAUUAUUUUAUAUUUAUGUAGUUGGAGGUUACAUUUACAAUUUAGUUUCUAUGUAGCAGAACAUUCAGUAGGAUUAUGAUUGAAUUUGAAGACUAUUUAAUACGGUCAGUAGUAGAUAUGGUGACUGUUGGAAGUUCAUUUGGGGGGAAACAAUGAGAACGCCUUCACUUCUGUGAAGGAUAGCUGUAUCUUGGUAGGUGGAAACAGAUGUUGUGUUGAUCCUACAGAAGUUGAAAUGUGUGUAGAAGGGUGGUGCAUAUGGAAACUGAGUAGCUGAAGGAGUGGACUCUGAAUCAUCAAUCCUUAUUAACUCUCAGCUCCAAAUCCAUCCUUUAUUGCCUGCUUGUUAUACUGGAACAUUUUUCCCUUGCUAGCUGAUUCAAUAGUAAGCUUCAUUAGUCGAUAGU
rnacentral:lncRNA from 1 species